AUAAAACUAUUCUAAGACCCCGUUCACACUUGCGACCAAUGUGGUUGCACGGCUCAUUAGACACUCCAUACUCUCUGUCGCGCUCGAAAGGUAAAUCAAGCUGAAUGCUCUGCUAGCCAAGAUGGCAGUGGAUCAAUAUUGAAUGGUAAUUAAUUCUACAUCAUACAACUAAUUAGAAAAAUAUUAAAUAAAAUCUAGCAGGUUAACGUUCAGGUUGUUUCUUUCACAUAAUAUACAAGCUGCAGUGCAUUUAUAAUUGUGCUUGUCACAAUUAACUUGUUUGUUAUGUAGCAGCAAAGCGAUAAAAAUAAAAACUGCAGUAUUGUGGAUCUCUGUGAUCAAUAAUGGUGCUGGCGACUUGGCAUAUUCAACUACCGUUUAUUUUGCACGCAACGAUAUACACAGCUUCAGAAGUGUGUGUCUUUACAUUUAAAAUGCCGAUCAUUUCUUUAGCUGUUUGCUUUUACACACAAAACCAAAUACUGUUCUCAUCCACAAAUAAAGAUUGAUGCACCAUGUGAGGGUGAGACCCUCGCUGUAAUAUUUCAAUGACUGUUGUGAUUAUUAUUAAUGUUCUACUGGCGAUAGAGCAGUGGUUUAUUGUAUAUCAUGCAUGUUGAGCAAAGUGUAUUUUAUAUAUGAGUGUAUUGCUGUGUUUAGGGAGCUUCCCUCAAUGAAGUGGUAAUGGUUAGGGACUAGAAAAUAACAAGUAAACAAUAGAAUACUUUAACAGUCGUGUUUGUAAACAAGACGGUAUUCACGCAGGUUAAACAAAUACGUAUAAAUAAGAAACGUGCAAUAUGCCUUUCCUUAGGAGGAAGCAGUAGUACUAUUAGUAGUACAGUAGUACUAGUCCUUUGCAAUCUGAAGUAUCCGUUACGAAAAUAAAUAUGUAUACCUGUCAACACCUGGCAAGUUGCUGUUUCCCCACAUUCUAGGUUAAGCUUGGACCGUUGCCAUAUUACACACCAUAACGUUACGUCAAAAUAGUCUAUUUUUUAAUAUAUGCCAUACAAUUGCUACUGUGCUGCAUUGAAAAAAUAUAUAUUAAGAACCAUCUGCUACAAAUCAAGGAUUACUGUAUAUUCCAGUAGCUCUUCUAUUCUGAGUGCAGUCUAUCGUUCAUAGAAAAAAGCAGUUUGCCACAUUUUAGGCCUGCUUUUCAGUCACGUGAACGCGCGACAUUGCCUUAAACCGCAAAUGUGAACGGGGUUGCAGACUUAACCCUUAGCGGUCCAUUGUCGGACCCGGUCCGACAUCAUUAUAGAAACGAAAAAAACGGGUUUUAGUCGUUUUUUCUCCGGAAAAAGCCGAGAAAACCAUUCAAUGGCAGAGUGGGAACGACAGGAGCCGAGACAAGUAAAAAAAAUAAAUAAA